rnacentral:rRNA from 1 species
CUUGAACGCUGGCGGCAGGCCUAACACAUGCAAGUCGAACGAGUGGCGGACGGGUGAGUAAUGUCUGGGCAACUGCCUGAUGGAGGGGGAUAACGUCUGGAAACGGGCGCUAAUACCGCAUACUAUCAGAUGAGCCUAGGUGGGAUUAGCUAGUUGGUGGGGUAACGGCCUACCAAGGCGACGAUCCGUAACUGGUCUGAGAGGAUGAUCAGUCACACUGGAACGGAGACACGGUCCAGACUCCUACGGGAGGCAGCAGUGGGGAAUAUUGGACAAUGGGCGAAAGCCUGAUGCAGCCAUGCCGCGUGUGUGAAGAAGGUCUUCGGAUUGUAAAGUACUUUCAGCGGGGAGGCGUUACCCGCAGAAGAAGCACCGGCUAACUCCGUGCCAGCAGCCGCGGUAAUUC